UACGUAGGGGGCGAGCGUUGUCCGGAAUCACUGGGCGUAAAGCGCACGCAGGCGGUCUGCUAAGUUUGGAGUGACAGUUGGUGGCUUAACUGCCAAAGUGCUUCGAAAACUGACAGACUUGAGGGCUUCAGAGGGACACGGAAUUCCGGGUGGAGUGGUGAAAUGCGUAGAGAUCCGGAGGAACACCAAAGGCGAAGGCAGUGUCCUGGGGAGUACCUGACGCUCAGGUGCGAAAGCCAGGGGAGCGAACGGG
rnacentral:rRNA from 1 species